GCAGUCGUGGCCGAAUGGUUAAGGCGAUGGACUCGAAAUCCAUUGGGGUCUCCCCGCACAGGUUCGAAUCCUGUCGGCUGCG
rnacentral:tRNA from 1 species